rnacentral:lncRNA from 1 species
UGAGCUUUUCUGUAUCCGGUUUGCCUCAGUCGAGAGUGAGUGUCAAUUUUCACUUUUGUACUUUUUACCUCAGUUGUUUGGAUCUUAUUAUGUGAUUUUUGCGUAUAGUAGCACUGAUUGGUCUCUUUUAUGUGUGAUUGUGGCAAUUGUGUCUCUAGUAGAUCAAACCUUAUGAUUACCUGCUUGCUUUAUUUUGUUCUGCAUAUGCUUUUGCAUUGUUUUGCUUAAUCCUUUUCAGGAGUUUCUAGUGCAGUUAUUGUAGAUUUAUUGCUUAGGUCAUUGGAUGAUAUUGAACUUAGUGAUAUUGCCAUAUGACAUUAACAGCAUGUUAUGGAAGUUUUCGAUAAUCAAUAUAAAACUUCUCGCCAGUUUAGAGACGUUUUAUACUCCUGAUUUAAAUUUUCCUUGGAGAUAUAAUGAUUUGUAUGUCCUUUGUAGAUUUGAUAUGCACCUUCUACUAAUCAGAAAAUGUUAUAUAAAAGAGAAUCAUGGUUGUUGCUUGAUGACAGUUUUUUUAAGGUUUGCAAUCACACUAAGGGUAUUCAGGCAGUAUGAUCUGUAUAGACAAAAGCAGUCAAGCGUUCUAGUGUACUGGUUGCCUCAAUGUAACUUGGAGCUGAGCUGUGUCUAGUAUUGUAAAGUGUUUGUUCUGAAACUCGUUUAAUGUGAUGUCUUGUUUGUGAUUAAUUCAACGCUGUUGAUGCUGUCAAAUU